rnacentral:rRNA from 1 species
UGGGGAAUCUUGCGCAAUGGGCGAAAGCCUGACGCAGCGACGCCGCGUGGGUGACGAAGGCCUUCGGGUUGUAAAGCCCUGUGGAGGGGGACGAACCGGCACGUGGCUAACAUCCACGUGCCUUGACGGUACCCCUUUAGCAAGCAUCGGCUAACUCUGUGCCAGCAGCCGCGGUAAGACAGAGGAUGCAAACGUUGCUCGGAAUUACUGGGCGUAAAGCGCGCGCAGGUGGUCUGGUAAGUCGGGUGUGAAAUCCCGGGGCUCAACCUCGGAAGUGCACACGAUACUGCCGGACUCGAGUACUGGAGAGGAGAGCGGAAUUCCCGGUGUAGAGGUGAAAUUCGUAGAUAUCGGGAGGAACACCAGUGGCGAAGGCGGCUCUCUGGACAGAUACUGACACUGAGGCGCGAAAGCGUGGGAAGCAAACAGG